rnacentral:rRNA from 1 species
UACGGAGGGUGCAAGCGUUAUCCGGAUUCACUGGGUUUAAAGGGUCCGCAGGCGGGAAGAUAAGUCAGUGGUGAAAUCUCACAGCUCAACUGUGAAACUGCCAUUGAUACUGUCUUUCUUGAAUUCGAUCGAAGUGGGCGGAAUGUGACAUGUAGCGGUGAAAUGCUUAGAUAUGUCACAGAACACCGAUAGCGAAGGCAGCUCACUAGGUCUGGAUUGACGCUCAGGGACGAAAGCGUGGGGAGCAAACAGG